rnacentral:lncRNA from 1 species
UAGUCAGAUAGUUAUUUCUAGCUACCAGUACCUUCCAUCAGUAAUGUCUUUUCCUGGUAACAUUUCAUCUUCAUUUCAAGAUGCUGAGGUCUUGGCAACACAUACAGUAGAUGUUGAUCACAUUCAGCUGGGGAUCUUUUCAUGUACUGGCUGCCAGCAGCUUCAAGAAGCCACAGCACAGAAAGGGAAGGAAGAGGUACUGUGGGAUCCCAGCCACAAAGAUGUCACUCCAGAACAUCAUAGAACAGUUGUGGUUGGAAGGACUUUUAUAGGUCACCCAGUCAACCAGUACAUCAUCAGGAACAGGAUACAAGGCCAAAGAUAUGUCUUUAACUUGCACUCUCAGAGAAAUGUGGUGAGAAUUUAUGAAAUUAUGUGAGAGGAUGGUAUUUAAAGGACCUCAUGAAAUUUUCCCUUCAGUUUUUGUCCUCUGCAAGUAUAAAACACCCAAGCCAACAGUACAAACUGUGUGUUAUAUUUUUGUAUUCAUCAGAUUGAAUGCAGAAGGGCAGAUUUCUAAGUACAUCCAGAACUUCAGGUAGGCCCUAGCACCCCAG